rnacentral:rRNA from 1 species
CCUACGGGUGGCAGCAGUCGAGAAUCAUUCACAAUGGGGGAAACCCUGAUGGUGCGACGCCGCGUGGGGGAAUGAAGGUCUUCGGAUUGUAAACCCCUGUCAUGUGGGAGCAAAUUAAAAAGAUAGUACCACAAGAGGAAGAGACGGCUAACUCUGGGCCAGCAGCCGCGGUAAUACAGAGGUCUCAAGCGUUGUUCGGAAUCACUGGGCGUAAAGCGUGCGUAGGCUGUUUCGUAAGUCGGGUGUGAAAGGCGCGGGCUCAACCCGCGGACGGCAGAUGAUACUGCGAGACUAGAGUAAUGGAGGGGGAAGCGGAAUUCUCGGUGUAGCAGUGAAAUGCGUAGAUAUCGAGAGGAACACUCGUGGCGAAGGCGGGUUACUGGACAUUAACUGACGCUGAGGCACGAAGGCGAGGGGAGCGAAAGGGAUUAGAUACCCGAGUAGUC